rnacentral:rRNA from 1 species
GAUGAACGCUGGCGGCGUGCCUAAUACAUGCAAGUCGAGCGAAUGGAUUAAGAGCUUGCUCUUAUGAAGUUAGCGGCGGACGGGUGAGUAACACGUGGGUAACCUGCCCAUAAGACUGGGAUAACUCCGGGAAACCGGGGCUAAUACCGGAUAACAUUUUGAACCGCAUGGUUCGAAAUUGAAAGGCGGCUUCGGCUGUCACUUAUGGAUGGACCCGCGUCGCAUUAGCUAGUUGGUGAGGUAACGGCUCACCAAGGCAACGAUGCGUAGCCGACCUGAGAGGGUGAUCGGCCACACUGGGACUGAGACACGGCCCAAACUCCUACGGGAGGCAGCAGUAGGGAAUCUUCCGCAAUGGACGACAGUCUGACGGAGUAACGCCGCGUGAGUGAUGAAGGCUUUCGGGUCGUAAAACUCUGUUGUUAGGGAAGAACAAGUGCUAGUUGAAUAAGCUGGCACCUUGACGGUACCUAACCAGAAAGCCACGGCUAACUACGUGCCAGCCGCCGCGGUAA